rnacentral:rRNA from 1 species
GGGAGUUUGAUUCAGGCUCAGAGCGAACGCUGGCGGCAUGCUUAACACAUGCAAGYYGCACGAAGGUUUCGGCCUUAGUGGCGGACGGGUGAGUAAMGCGUAGGUAUCUAUCCAUGGGUGGGGGAUAACACUGGGAAACUGGUSCUAAUACCSCAUGACACCUGAGGGUCAAAGGCGUAAGUCGCCUGUGGAGGAGCCUGCGUUUGAUUASCUAGUUGGUGGGGUAAAGGCCUACCAAGGCGAUGAUCAAUARSUGGUUUGAGAGGAUGAUCAGCCACAMUGGGRCUGAGACACGGCCCAGACUCCUACGGGAGGCAGCAGUGGGGAAUAUUGGACAAUGGGGGCAACCCUGAUCCAGCAAUGCCGCGUGUGYGAAGAAGGUYUUCGGAUUGUAAAGCACUUUCGACGGGGACGAUGAUGACGGUACCCGUAGAAGAAGCCCCGGCUAACUUCGUGCCAGCAGCCGCGGUAAUACGAAGGGGGCUAGCGUUGCUCGGAAUGACUGGGCGUAAAGGGCGUGUAGGCGGUUUGUACAGUCAGAUGUGAAAUCCCCGGGCUUAACCUGGGAGCUGCAUUUGAUACGUGCAGACUAGAGUGUGAGAGAGGGUUGUGGAAUUCCCAGUGUAGAGGUGAAAUUCGUAGAUAUUGGGAAGAACACCGGUGGCGAAGGCGGCAACCUGGCUCAUUACUGACGCUGAGGCGCGAAAGCGUGGGGAGCAAACAGGAUUAGAUACCCUGGUAGUCCACGCUGUAAACGAUGUGUGCUAGAUGUUGGGGUGACUUAGUCAUUCAGUGUCGCAGUUA